GCUGAACUAGGGGAAUUUGCAAUGCCCUUCUAGCUAUACAACCCUAUGAACAACCUCAGUGACAAGAAUUAACUUUCUGUUACUUAUUUUAUCCAGAGGCCAUCACCAGAAACCAUUACUAACAAGUGUCAUGUUAGGCAGUCACUAUAAGAAUAAUACAUUCUGAUAUAUCGCUACAGGUACAUCUGCAUAAACACACAAAUUUAUACAGCAUUAACAUCUUACAUGAAUUCCACAGCUUGAGAACUACAAAGAACCUUUAGGUAAUUCAAUCCAGGUGAUUUCCCCACAUAUUUGAGCUAUAAAACUUUUUGUUAAAAAUGUUUUUCUAUUCAAUAUACAUUUACUGAGCAUAUACUCAUGUAUAAAAAUAAACUUGAAUAAGAGAGUACUUAUCAAAUUUGCUUGCUAGAGGAAUCUCUCGCUCUCUGGUACACACACCCACCCACACCCACCACAGUGCUCCACAAAUUUAUGCAUAUGAAGGAGUGAAGUAAUGGGCAAGGGUGGGAAAGAAUGGGGAACAAGUGGGAAAAUAGGAAAAGGGAACAAAUAUUUCUUGUCCUUAGGUUUGAGGAAUGGGGAAAAUUUUCAAAGCCAGAAAUUACCAAAUAUGUUAUUCAUGGUCCAAGGGUAGAUGAACAAAGGCAGAGGCUUAAAAAUAUCAGAAUUUUGGGAAAUAAAUUGGGGUGCAACAUUGCAGACCUCAUGUCUUACUUGAAGGGCAAUGUGAGUCCAUUUUGAGAAAGAUAUGGAUAAUGACAAUGGUGAUUUUUGGGGGUUGAUCCAGCAUCUAAAGAGACCCUUUCCCUGGUUAGGGCAGAGGAGUAGAAGGGACAGAGUAUGUGAAUGGAGCCUCACACAGCUUCUCUCUCCCCACAACUCAGUACUGAAGUAACCCUUGAAAGUAACUUUACAGAAACUAGAGGGCUCCAGAGACAGGACUGAAAGCCUUCUGUUGAGUCCAUCUUCCACUUUUCACAUCUAAAGAAACUACAGAUUGGAGUUCAUGGAUGAUUUGAGCAAGAUCAUACAAUAAUCCAUUACUGGGCUUUUUGCUCCCUGGUCCUCAGUUAAAGAUUGGUGGCUGGAAGUGGCUUCAAGAUAUUUUUCACCAGGUUCACAAAACACCUUAAUGAUCUGCUUUUACUGGAAAUAGUCUCAGCUAUCUAUGAAAACAUCAGUCCUUUAGGUCAGAGUUCAUAGACAAGGACACUGGCAGACCACUGGCUAUUGCAGUGUCCAUACAUUUUUGACCAUCAUUGUAUUUAUUGCCAUUAUUAUUAUUUGUGGGGAUGGAGGUUGUGUGUGUGUUUUCAGAGACAUAAAAGGUCUUAACAUCUAAUUGUUUUUAAGAUCCAGAGUUUGGAAGUGUAUAGUUGAGGAGAUAUUUAGGUUUUAACAACUCCUUUUAGAAUAAAGUAUGUGGUAACAUCCUAUUUCUAUCCAAGGUAAAUACAGAAUUACACUAUGAUGUCACUUCAUAAGCAUGCUAAAUUCUCCUAAAGAUCAGGUGGGCAUGCACUUUCUUUGUGGACACCUAAGAGAUAAUCCAUGAGCUGGCAACUUCUAUAGUCCCUGACAAUGAAGCUACAGGACCCCACAUUGAUUUAGGUCAGAAAUGUAUGGAGAAGCUCAUACAAUUGGAAAGAUCCCUGAUUUUGCCGGCUAUUGCCUCAGGCUUGUAGGUGACAAAAAGGUUUUUCCUUGAUCCUAUUAGGGUCCAUGGCUGGGUGUGAAAAUAGUAAACUGACAAACACAGAUUAUCAGGAAAAAAGUACACACAUUUGUUUAAGUAAGUUGUAUGCUGGGUCACUUUGCUGUACAGUAGAAAUUGGCACAAUAUUGUAAAUAGACUACGAUAAAAAAAGAAAAAAAUAAGAAGUUGUAUGUGACAUGGGAGACUUCGCAAGGAAAUGAAGAUCCAAGAAACAGACUUUGUAUUUUUGUGCUAGGUUUGAUGGAAAGGGAACAGCUGUGGUAAGAACAGGUUAAGGACUGUGAAGUCAUUGUAAUAACAUGGGGGUACCUUAGUGAGACCUGUUUGUUAGGAUUCUUCCUGAUGUCCCUGCUCUUUUCCUCUGGGUAUAGGGAGGGCCCCUGUUACAUGAAGAUUUUAUGAUCUGUUUCAGGGAAGAAGGAUAAGGUGGGAUAGGAGAUCAAAGUGACCUUUCUACUUCUACCAUUUCCUCAAACACCUUCAGCCUAAGACACUGCAUAUGUCAGGGUGCCAUAUUUGGAGGUUGUAUUUCCUGAACCCCAAAUGCCUCUUCAUUCUUUAAUUUCUACCUCUGAGAUCCUGAGUCAGCUUUGGGGUUUUGGUGAGUUAGCUCUUCAACUCGCCUGUCCUUUGUCUUGCUGCUCCUGCUCCCCCAACCUAGAUACUUAUUUAUUUUUCAACAUGGUUUCCCUCCUCGCCAGCAGACAAGCUUAGACAAUUACAUGAAACUUAUAUCUGCAGAAGUAUCACCUAAGGAAGGUACUUAAAUUUUUAAAGUAGAGUUUUUAUAAUGAGACACUUUUAAGACCCGGGGGAAUAAUUCCUAAAGGACACGUGGGUUACUAUGGAAGGGGGAGAGGGGCCCUAAUGGCAUGCUUCACCCCACAUAUAGCCAUCUUCCUGUCUAGAAGGUUAACUGCACAGCAGAGAAGGAGACUGAGCCAUCAUUUCUUUUUGGUGCCUCAUUACAAAUUUUUCUCUUAGGCUGAGUCUUCAAUUUUAUGCCGAGCCAGGUGUUGCAGAGUGGGCUGAAGUAACAAAUCAACCCAUUUGAGCUUUUGAAGAUACUAAUUUGCCUUCGGAUAUCUUUAAUCUGGUGGAAUAUAUCCCCCUUUCACAGCAUUUCUGAACUUAAACACUAUCCAAAACAACAUGUGGCAUUUUCUCUAAUUACUUAUGAUUAAGAAAAAAAGCAAAGUCAGGCCCUCAAGGCAUCAACACUUUGCCAUUUUCCCAGAGAAAUGAGUACUGCAGAGCAAAGCAGCUUGAAAAUUAAUGCAAGGCACAACACAGCCCAGGGAUGUAGGCUUGCAUUUCUUUUCUGCACUGUAUUUCAAAAAUGUUUUACACAACAGGAGAAGGG
rnacentral:lncRNA from 1 species